GCGGGGGUGGCGGAAUGGCAGACGCGCUGGUCUCAGAAGCCAGUGACGCAAGUCAUGAGGGUUCAAGUCCCUCCUCCCGCA
rnacentral:tRNA from 2 species